rnacentral:rRNA from 1 species
GACGGGGGGGCAAGUGUCUUCGAAAUGACUGGGCGUAAAGGGCACGUAGGCGGUGAAUCGGGUUAAAGUCAAAGUUGCCAAAAACUGGCGGAAUGCUCUCGAAACCAAUUCACUUGAGUGAGACAGAGGAGAGUGGAAUUUAGUGUGUAGGGGUGAAAUCCGUAGAUCUACGAAGGAACGCCAAAAGCGAAGGCAGCUCUCUGGGUCCCUACCGACGUUGGGGUGUGAAAGCAUGGGGAGCGAACAUG